rnacentral:rRNA from 1 species
ACAGCAGUAGCCGCGGUAACACGAAGGGUGCAAGCGUUACUCGGAAUUACUGGGCGUAAAGCGUGCGUAGGUGGUGGUUUAAGUCCGUUGUGAAAGCCCUGGGCUCAACCUGGGAAUUGCAGUGGAUACUGGGUCACUAGAGUGUGGUAGAGGAUAGUGGAAUUUCCGGUGUAGCAGUGAAAUGCGUAGAGAUCGGAAGGAACAUCUGUGGCGAAGGCGACUAUCUGGGCCAACACUGACACUGAGGCACGAAAGCGUGGGGAGCAAACAGGAUUAGAUACCCGUGUAGUCCCUGUCUCUUAUAA